UUAAGUGAAUAAGGGCGCACGGUGGAUGCCUUGGCACUAGGAGCCGAUGAAGGACGGGACUAACACCGAUAUGCUUUGGGGAGCUGUACGUAAGCUAUGAUCCAGAGAUUUCCGAAUGGGGGAACCCAACAUCUUUAAUAGGAUGUUACGAUUGUGUGAAUACAUAGCACAUUCGAGGUAGACGCAGAGAACUGAAACAUCUAAGUACCUGCAGGAAGAGAAAGAAAAUUCGAUUCCCUGAGUAGCGGCGAGCGAAACGGGAAAAGCCCAAACCAGCAAGCUUGCUUGUUGGGGUUGUAGGACUCCAAUAUGGUAGUUCUUUCAGAUAGUCGAAUGACUUGGAAAAGUCAGUCAAAGAGGGUAAAAACCCCGUAGACGAAAUGUGGAAGACACCUAGGAGGAUCCUGAGUACGGCGGAACACGAGAAAUUCCGUCGGAAUCCGGGAGGACCAUCUCCCAAGGCUAAAUACUCCCUAGUGACCGAUAGUGAACCAGUACCGUGAGGGAAAGGUGAAAAGCACCCCGGAAGGGGAGUGAAAUAGAACCUGAAACCGUGUGCCUACAACAAGUCAAAGCCCGUUAAUGGGUGAUGGCGUGCCUUUUGUAGAAUGAACCGGCGAGUUACGAUUGCAUGCGAGGUUAAGUUGAAGAGACGGAGCCGCAGCGAAAGCGAGUCUGAAUAGGGCGUUUGAGUAUGUAGUCGUAGACCCGAAACCAUGUGAUCUACCCAUGUCCAGGUUGAAGGUGCGGUAAAACGCACUGGAGGACCGAACCCACGUACGUUGAAAAGUGCGGGGAUGAGGUGUGGGUAGCGGAGAAAUUCCAAACGAACUUGGAGAUAGCUGGUUCUCUCCGAAAUAGCUUUAGGGCUAGCCUCGGAAUUGAGAAUGAUGGAGGUAGAGCACUGUUUGGACUAGGGGCCCAUCUCGGGUUACCGAAUUCAGAUAAACUCCGAAUGCCAUUCAUUCAUAUCCGGGAGUCAGACUGUGAGUGAUAAGAUCCAUAGUCGAAAGGGAAACAGCCCAGACCACCAGCUAAGGUCCCAAAAUAUAUGUUAAGUGGAAAAGGAUGUGGGGUUGCACAGACAACUAGGAUGUUGGCUUAGAAGCAGCCAUCAUUUAAAGAGUGCGUAAUAGCUCACUAGUCGAGUGACCCUGCGCCGAAAAUGUACCGGGGCUAAACAUAUUACCGAAGCUGUGGAGUACACCUUUAGGUGUAUUGGUAGGAGAGCGUUCUAAGGGCGUUGAAGGCAGAUCGUGAGGACUGCUGGAGCGCUUAGAAGUGAGAAUGCCGGUAUGAGUAGCGAAAGACAGGUGAGAAUCCUGUCCACCGAAUGACUAAGGUUUCCUGGGGAAGGCUCGUCCGCCCAGGGUUAGUCGGGACCUAAGCCGAGGCCGACAGGCGUAGGCGAUGGAUAACAGGUUGAUAUUCCUGUACCCGUUGUUUUUGUUUGAGCAAUGGAGGGACGCAGGAGGCUAAGGAAUGCAGACGAUCGGAAAUGUCUGUCCAAGCAGUAAGUCUGAAGAGGAGUCAAAUGCUUCUUUUCUUAAGGACAAGCUGUGAUGGGGAGGGAAAUAAUAGUACCGAAGUUCCUGAUGUCACACUGCCGAGAAAAGCUUCUAGUGAGAAAACAGCGGCCCGUACCGCAAACCGACACAGGUAGUCGAGGAGAGAAUCCUAAGGUGAGCGAGAGAACUCUCGUUAAGGAACUCGGCAAAAUGACCCCGUAACUUCGGGAGAAGGGGUGCUGAUCAUACGAUCAGCCGCAGUGAAUAGGCCCAAGCGACUGUUUAUCAAAAACACAGGUCUCUGCAAAAUCGUAAGAUGAAGUAUAGGGGCUGACGCCUGCCCGGUGCUGGAAGGUUAAGAGGAGUGCUUAGCGCAAGCGAAGGUACGAAUUGAAGCCCCAGUAAACGGCGGCCGUAACUAUAACGGUCCUAAGGUAGCGAAAUUCCUUGUCGGGUAAGUUCCGACCCGCACGAAAGGCGUAACGAUUUGGGCACUGUCUCAACGAGAGACUCGGUGAAAUUUUAGUACCUGUGAAGAUGCAGGUUACCCGCGACAGGACGGAAAGACCCCAUGGAGCUUUACUGUAGUUUGAUAUUGAGUGUCUGUACCGCAUGUACAGGAUAGGUAGGAGUCGUAGAAAUCGGAACGCUAGUUUCGAUGGAGGCGCUGGUGGGAUACUACCCCUGCGUUAUGGCCACUCUAACCCGCACCACUAAUCGUGGUGGGAGACAGUGUCAGAUGGGCAGUUUGACU
rnacentral:rRNA from 1 species